UACGUAGGGUGCGAGCGUUAAUCGGAAUUACUGGGCGUAAAGCGUGCGCAGGCGGUUUUGUAAGCCAGAUGUGAAAUCCCCGGGCUUAACCUGGGAAUGGCAUUUGGGACUGCAAGGCUUGAGUGCGGCAGAGGAGACUGGAAUUCCUGGUGUAGCAGUGAAAUGCGUAGAUAUCAGGAGGAAUACCGAUGGCGAAGGCAGGUCUCUGGGCUGACACUGACGCUCAUGCACGAAAGCGUGGGGAGCAAGCAGG
rnacentral:rRNA from 1 species